rnacentral:misc_RNA from 1 species
GAAAUGCGAUAAGUAAUGUGAAUUGCAGAAUUCCGUGAAUCAUCGAAUCUUUGAACGCACAUUGCGCCCUCUGGCAUUCCGGGGGGCAUGCCUGUCCGAGCGUCAUUAUGCACCCUCAAGCCCGGCUUGUGUGAUGGGCCCUGGCGUCUCGUUCGCGAGACGGUCCCGAAAGGCAGCGGCGGCGUCGACCCGAUGAGCCCGAGCGUAUGGGGACUUUUGUCACACGUUUGCGGUGCGGACCGGCGCCUGCUUGACUUUUCUGAUUAUCCAGGUUGACCUCGGAUCAGGUAGGGAUACCCGCUGAACUUAAGC